rnacentral:rRNA from 1 species
AAGAGCUUGCUCUUUAUGAAAUCCAGUGGCAAACGGGUGAGUAACACGUAAACAACCUGCCUUCAGGAUGGGGACAACAGACGGAAACGACUGCUAAUACCGAAUACGAUUCUUGAGUCGCAUGACACAAGAAAGAAAGGGUGGCCUCUACUUGUAAGCUAUCGCCUGAAGAGGGGUUUGCGUCCGAUUAGGUAGUUGGUGAGGUAACGGCCCACCAAGCCGACGAUCGGUAGCCGGUCUGAGAGGAUGAACGGCCACAUUGGAACUGAGACACGGUCCAGACUCCUACGGGAGGCAGCAGUGGGGAAUCUUCCGCAAUGGGCGGAAGCCUGACGGAGCAACGCCGCGUGAGUGAAGACGGCCUUCGGGUUGUAAAACUCUGUGAUUCGGGACGAAAGAUAAGUAGACGAAUAAUCUGCAUAAGUGACGGUACCGAAAAAGCAAGCCACGGCUAACUACGUGCCAGCAGCCGCGGUAAUACGUAGGUGGCAAGCGUUGUCCGGAAUUAUUGGGCGUAAAGCGCGCGCAGGCGGCUACUUAAGUCCAUCUUAAAAGUGCGGGGCUUAACCCCGUGAUGGGAUGGAAACUGAGAAGCUGGAGUGUCGGAGAGGAAAGUGGAAUUCCUAGUGUAGCGGUGAAAUGCGUAGAGAUUAGGAAGAACACCGGUGGCGAAGGCGACUUUCUGGACGACAACUGACGCUUAGGCGCGAAAGCGUGGGGAGCAAACAGGAUUAGAUACCCUGGUAGUCCACGCCGUANACGAUGGAUACUAGGUGUAGGAGGUAUCGACCCCUUCUGUGCCGGAGUUAACGCAAUAAGUAUCCCGCCUGGGAAGUACGAUCGCAAGAUUAAAACU